rnacentral:rRNA from 1 species
GGGGGGGGGGGGGGGGGGGGGGGGGGCGGGCAGGGCGGGCGGGGGGGGGCUGCGGGGGUGGGGUGGGCGAGGGGCGGACGGGGGAGGAACGCGUGAGUAACCUGCCCUUGACUGGGGGAUAACUUCAGGGAACUGGGGCUGAUACCGGAUAGGAGCUCCUUCUGCAUGGUGGGGGUUGGCAAGUUUCGGCGGUUGGGGAUGGACUCGCGGCUGAUCAGCUUGUUGGUGGGGUAGUGGCUUACCACGGCUUUGACGGGUCGCCGGCCUGAGAGGGUGACCGGCCACAUUGGGACUGGGAUACGGCCCAGACUCCUACGGGAGGCAGCAGUGGGGAAUAUUGCACAAUGGGCGGAAGCCUGAUGCAGCAACGCCGCGUGCGGGAUGACGGCCUUCGGGUUGUAAACCGCUUUCGCCUGUGACGAAGCGUGAGUGACGGUAAUGGGUAAAGAAGCACCGGCUAACUACGUG